UGGGGAAUUUUGGACAAUGGGCGAAAGCCUGAUCCAGCAAUGCCGCGUGUGUGAAGAAGGCCUUCGGGUUGUAAAGCACUUUUGUCCGGAAAGAAAUCCUUGGCUCUAAUACAGUCGGGGGAUGACGGUACCGGAAGAAUAAGCACCGGCUAACUACGUGCCAGCAGCCGCGGUAAUACGUAGGGUGCAAGCGUUAAUCGGAAUUACUGGGCGUAAAGCGUGCGCAGGCGGUUUGCUAAGACCGAUGUGAAAUCCCCGGGCUCAACCUGGGAACUGCAUUGGUGACUGGCAGGCUAGAGUAUGGCAGAGGGGGGUAGAAUUCCACGUGUAGCAGUGAAAUGCGUAGAGAUGUGGAGGAAUACCGAUGGCGAAGGCAGCCCCUGGGCCAAUACUGACGCUCAUGCACGAAAGCGUGGGGAGCAAACAGGAUUAGAUACCCUGGUAGUCCACGCCCUAAACGAUGUCAACUAGUUGUUGGGGAUUCAUUUCCUUAGUAACGUAGCUAACGCGUGAAGUUGACCGCCUGGGGAGUACGGUCGCAAGAUUAAAACUCAAAUGAAUUGACGGGG
rnacentral:rRNA from 1 species